AAAUUGAAGAGUUUGAUCAUGGCUCAGAUUGAACGCUGGCGGCAGGCCUAACACAUGCAAGUCGAACGGUAACAGGAAGCAGCUUGCUGCUUUGCUGACGAGUGGCGGACGGGUGAGUAAUGUCUGGGAAACUGCCUGAUGGAGGGGGAUAACUACUGGAAACGGUGGCUAAUACCGCAUAACGUCGCAAGACCAAAGAGGGGGACCUUCGGGCCUCUUGCCAUCAGAUGUGCCCAGAUGGGAUUAGCUUGUUGGUGAGGUAACGGCUCACCAAGGCGACGAUCCCUAGCUGGUCUGAGAGGAUGACCAGCCACACUGGAACUGAGACACGGUCCAGACUCCUACGGGAGGCAGCAGUGGGGAAUAUUGCACAAUGGGCGCAAGCCUGAUGCAGCCAUGCCGCGUGUAUGAAGAAGGCCUUAGGGUUGUAAAGUACUUUCAGCGGGGAGGAAGGUGUUGCGGUUAAUAACCGCAGCAAUUGACGUUACCCGCAGAAGAAGCACCGGCUAACUCCGUGCCAGCAGCCGCGGUAAUACGGAGGGUGCAAGCGUUAAUCGGAAUUACUGGGCGUAAAGCGCACGCAGGCGGUCUGUCAAGUCGGAUGUGAAAUCCCCGGGCUCAACCUGGGAACUGCAUUCGAAACUGGCAGGCUUGAGUCUUGUAGAGGGGGGUAGAAUUCCAGGUGUAGCGGUGAAAUGCGUAGAGAUCUGGAGGAAUACCGGUGGCGAAGGCGGCCCCCUGGACAAAGACUGACGCUCAGGUGCGAAAGCGUGGGGAGCAAACAGGAUUAGAUACCCUGGUAGUCCACGCCGUAAACGAUGUCUACUUGGAGGUUGUGCCCUUGAGGCGUGGCUUCCGGAGCUAACGCGUUAAGUAGACCGCCUGGGGAGUACGGCCGCAAGGUUAAAACUCAAAUGAAUUGACGGGGGCCCGCACAAGCGGUGGAGCAUGUGGUUUAAUUCGAUGCAACGCGAAGAACCUUAC
rnacentral:rRNA from 1 species